rnacentral:sRNA from 1 species
GUUUUGCGUAAGGGAUAGUAGUGGUAUCCUUUUGUGCUGUCCUAGCGCGAAGCAUCGGGAUCGGGGACAGCACAUAAGAUAUAACGGAUAGCCCGACCCGUA